CGGGGUGGAGUAAUGUCUGGGAAACUAGCCUGAUGAGGGGGGAUAACUGCUGGAAACGGUAGCUAAUACCGCAUAACGUCGCAAGACCAAAGAGGGGGACCUUCGGGCCUCUUGCCAUCGGAUGUGCCCAGAUGGGAUUAGCUAGUAGGUGGGGUAACGGCUCACCUAGGCGACGAUCCCUAGCUGGUCUGAGAGGAUGGCCAGCCACACUGGAACUGAGACACGGUCCAG
rnacentral:rRNA from 1 species